rnacentral:rRNA from 1 species
UACGUAGGGUGCAAGCGUUGUCCGGAAUUAUUGGGCGUAAAGAGCCCGUAGGCGGUCUGUCGCGUCGGCUGUGAAAACUCGGGGCUCAACCCCGAGCCUGCAGCCGAUACGGGCAGACUAGAGUUCGGUAGGGGAGACUGGAAUUCCUGGUGUAGCGGUGAAAUGCGCAGAUAUCAGGAGGAACACCGGUGGCGAAGGCGGGUCUCUGGGCCGAUACUGACGCUGAGGAGCGAAAGCGUGGGGAGCGAACAGG